rnacentral:rRNA from 1 species
GACGAACGCUGGCGGCGUGCUUAACACAUGCAAGUCGCACGAGAACGCUUCAGCUUGCUGAGGCAAGUAAAGUGGCGCACGGGUGAGUAACGCGUGGGUAAUCUACCUCCGAAUUGGGGAUAACAUUGCGAAAGCGGUGCUAAUACCGAAUAAUAUCCCUGAGACUCCGGUCUUGGUGAUCAAAGGUGGCCUCUACAUGUAAGCUAUUGUUUGGAGAUGCGCCCGCGUACCAUUAGCUUGUUGGUAGGGUAACGGCCUACCAAGGCUGCGAUGGUUAGCUGGUCUGAGAGGAUGAUCAGCCACACUGGAACUGACACACGGUCCAGACUCCUACGGGAGGCAGCAGUGAGGAAUUUUGCGCAAUGGGGGAAACCCUGACGCAGCAACGCCGCGUGAGUGAUGAAGGCCUUCGGGUCGUAAAGCUCUGUCAAGUGGGAAGAAUCUGUCUGGUGAUAAUACCAUCGGGCACUGACGGUACCACUGAAGGAAGCACCGGCUAACUCCGUGCCAGCCGCCGCAGUAA